rnacentral:lncRNA from 1 species
GCCUGUUGUCAUGGGGGAGGUGGUGGCGCUCGGCGGCUACUGGCGGCGGAGGUAGAGUCUGAGGCGCCGGAGUUGUGCAGGGCCAGCGGCAGUUUACAGCCCAUCAUAGCAAGGGAAGCCAAGCCUGCAGAAAUUAAAACAGCUGGUCACAUCCACAUUCAAGCAUGAAGCAAAAUGGAUGACAUGCUUGAGACAAGGUGUCCCGUAUAACAGCCCUGGCUGUCCUGGAACUCAUUCUGUAGACCAGGCUGGCCUCAAACUCAAGAGAUCCACCUUUUGCUGCUUCCCAAGUGCUAGGAUUGAAGAGUUUCUCUGUAGCUUUGGAGGCUGUCCUGGAACUAGCUCAGUAGACCAGGCUGGACUUGAGUUCACAGAGAUCCUCCUGCCUCUGCCUCCCACAUGCUGGGAUCAAAGGCAUGAACCACCACCAUCCAGCAAAAAUCUGAGUUUUAUAAACAAAAUUAAUUUAAAGAAAAAAAAAAGACUUUACAUUCAGGUAUUCUCAUGUUUUAUUUUAUUAUAUUUUUUAAAGAUCAAACAACUAUUUUUUUAUUGAAAAUAAAUUUUUUUCAUAUAAUAUGUUGAUUACAAUUUCCCCUUUUCCAACUCCUCUCAGAUCCUUCCCAUCAACCUACUAUCACUAGAAAAAAAAUGAACAUCUAGAAAAAAAUAUCAAAAAUGUCUCAGCCCCACUGUUUAGUAGUUUUGUGAUCUUGGAAGUUUCUAAACUCACUGUACUUCAAUUUUCCUAGUUGCAAGUGAGCCAUCAGAAUUAAAUGACAAUGCAUAGAAAUUGUC